GCCGGAAGACAGAAGCUUCCUCGACACUCGAAUCGAGCAGAUAUCGCGGCGGAGGAACGGGCUUUCCAUUUCCAGCAGAGGAAGACAGCUCGCUGUUGAUUCCAUUUGAUUUUAUUACUUCAGCUUGCUCACAUUUUUCUGGUCUCUUCAGCUUCAGCCAUGGCAAUUAAUCUAAAAAGGUAAACUGUUUGGAAACAUUACAUACAGCAACUAGGGCUAGGUUAUUAGACAGGUGGGCACGUCACCUAACACUUACCUACGCCAUCUUCCGUGAAACCUUGUUUUUAUUCUGCUUCACUAUUAUUGUACUGUUCAGUAUCCUUUCUCAAGCCCUUGUAUACAGGCGCUUAACCGACAACUCUCUCAGACUUUAACCGUAUGGAAGAAUGAUAGCACUUUAUUUGCUUAGCUCUGUUUCAAACCUAUCACCUUUUUGAUACAACUCC
rnacentral:lncRNA from 1 species